rnacentral:rRNA from 1 species
GAUGAACGCUGGCGGCGUGCCUAAUACAUGCAAGUCGAGCGAACAGACGAGGAGCUUGCUCCUCUGACGUUAGCGGCGGACGGGUGAGUAACACGUGGAUAACCUACCUAUAAGACUGGGAUAACUUCGGGAAACCGGAGCUAAUACCGGAUAAUAUAUUGAACCGCAUGGUUCAAUAGUGAAAGACGGUUUUGCUGUCACUUAUAGAUGGAUCCGCGCCGCAUUAGCUAGUUGGUAAGGUAACGGCUUACCAAGGCAACGAUGCGUAGCCGACCUGAGAGGUGGUUCGGCCCCCCGGAACUGAGACACCGGCCAGACUCCUACGGGAGGCAGCAGUAGGGAAUCUUCCGCAAUGGGCGAAAGCCUGACGGAGCAACGCCGCGUGAGUGAUGAAGGUCUUCGGAUCGUAAAACUCUGUUAUUAGGGAAGAACAAAUGUGUAAGUAACUAUGCACGUCUUGACGGUACCUAAUCAGAAAGCCACGGCUAACUACGUG